CUUUAUUUCUAACAUUAUUCUCUCCAUCACCACAGUCGAUUGAAACCCUCUACCGACCAGACGGGUCGUUCUCUGGGUCAGAACCUGGAUGAGUCCCCUUACCUGGAGCCUUUCCUCCACGAAUUCCAUGACGAGGAGCAACAGCACCCUCUGCAGGACAACCCACUACCCCACAUACUGCUGCCGCCUCGUCGCUCCCACAGCCUGGAGCUGAUGGACACGCUGGACCGUAAGCUGAAGCAGAAACGACGAACCAAACAGAGGAAACAUCAGAGAAACGGACAGUUUAAUGACCUCUGGGUCCGCAUCGAAGAGAGCACCACAGUCCAGUUUCCUCCUCCUCCUCCUCCUCCUCUGGUGCGUAUCACCAACGGUUACGUCACCGUAGGACCUCACCACCAUGACAUUGAAAGAGGCCUCGCCCAUGGCCACGACAGAACCAAUCACCACAGGUGGUCGUCAGGCUGCUCCGCCUCCACGCCGCUGUCUGUCAUCUGGUUGCAGUUAACAGUGUUGGUUCACACCUGGACUCUGGUAGUAACACUAGUCUGAAGCAUGAGGUUGUUGGUUAAACUUUUGCACACAAACUGGAAAACAAUCCUUAUCAAUCUAUUUCAAAAACACUGUAAUUCUGUAUACUGUUAACGGUGUUGGGUGACAUCUGGACUGCAGAUCUAAUGCAGAAGGUUAUUGGUUCAAAACCCUCCUGCUCUCAUCUGGACUCUAGUAGUAGAUCUAGUACAGGAGGUUCCUGGUUCAAAACCCUCCUGCUCUCAUCUGGACUCCGUUAGCAGAUCUAGUACUAUAAUCAAUGUUAGUUCACAUCUGGACUCUGCAUAACUAGUGCAGGAGGUUCCUGGUUCAAACCCCUCCUGCUCUCAUCUGGACUCUAGUAGUAGAUCUAGUACAGGAGGUUCUUGGUUCAAACCCCUCCUGCUCUCAUCUGGACUCUAGUAGUAGAUCUAGUACAGGAGGUUCCUGGUUCAAACCCCUCCUGCUCUCAUCUGGACUCUAGUAGUAGAUCUAGUACAGGAGGUUCUUGGUUCAAACCCCUCCUGCUCUCAUCUGGACUCUGCAUAACUAGUACAGGAGGUUCCUGGUUCAAAACCCUUUCAGCUCUUAAACUGGAAGGAAAGGAAUCAUCUUUUUCAACACACAAUGAGGUGAAUCCUAACUUCAAGUGAAAAUCGGACAUACUGUAAGUAGAAGUUCGCAUUCGCUCAAAUCAGUCUAGACUGAAUCUUAUUACCUUUAAUUUAGUACUUUAUUUUGACCCCCCCAAAAAAUACAAAUAUAUUAUUAAGAACCCAAACAGCUCUUUACUCUUACUUUACUUCCAACCCUCUUCAUUUAUUCUUCUCUUUUUGAAGAAUGUGUUUUGUAUCGCGUAAUACUGUGGGAAUUGUAUAUAUCUACAUAUUCUAGAUUGUAUUUUAGAAAUAUGACAUUGAAAAUGGUUGAAUGUGUUUUUGUUUGUUGUUGUUUAUAAAUAGAUACAGUGUAUUUUUUUGAGACUAAAGCUGGUACUAACCACCAUACCCUGUAUUUGGUAGCCUGGUCCCAUAGCCUGGUCACCUGAUCUGCUUGUGCUGUCUUGCUAACUCCUAUGGUCAUUGUCACCUUAGGAGUUGGCAAGGACAACACAACCAGAUGUGGAUCCAGGCUAUGUCCGUGGUUGAAUGGUGAUAUGGGUGAGGGGGAGAACCCAUACGAAACCGGUUACCGAUGGUUUGUUGUUUUGUCUUUGCUGAGAGAAUUACGUUUUAUGUUUUUACAUAGAGAUUAUUUGUUUAAUUUAUUUAACUAUAUAGUUGGUAAGUAAUCUUAACAUGCGUUAUGACAGUUGUUGUUCAUCCCAAUGUGAUGUGUUCGUUCUCUCUCCAGCCUAAGAGUCAAGUCAACACCAAUUUGUUGGAUGUUCAUGAGAUGACUUUAUCUUGUUGUAGGUCACUGACAUUUCAAUUGUGUGGCGUGAGAUUAUUGU